GAUGAACGCUGGCGGCGUGCCUAAUACAUGCAAGUCGAGCGAACAGACGAGGAGCUUGCUCCUCUGACGUUAGCGGCGGACGGGUGAGUAACACGUGGAUAACCUACCUAUCAGACUGGGAUAACUUCGGGAAACCGGAGCUAAUACCGGAUAAUAUAUUGAACCGCAUUGUUCAAUAGUGAAAGACGGUUUUGCUGUCACUUAUAGAUGGAUCCGCGCCGCAUUAGCUAGUUGGUAAGGUAACGGCUUACCAAGGCGACGAUGCGUAGCCGACCUGAGAGGGUGAUCGGCCACACUGGAACUGAGACACGGUCCAGACUCCUACGGGAGGCAGCAGUAGGGAAUCUUCCGCAAUGGGCGAAAGCCUGAAGGAGAAACGCCGCGUGAGUGAUGAAGGUCUUCGGAUCGUAAAACUCUGUUAUUAGGGAAGAACAAAUGUGUAAGUAACGAUGCACGUCUUGACGGUACCGAAUCAGAAAGCCACGGCUAACUACGU
rnacentral:rRNA from 1 species